AUCCAGAUGGUGCAAACUAAUUGUGUUGUCUCUUUGUUAGCCCUCGCUUAGGAGUUACAGGAGAGAAAAGCCUGCAAGAAAAUAGGUCUAGUGAAGACACCCAGGAUGAGAAGAUUGCACCGUUGCGUGAAUCAGUUACUGAUGACCUCCAGGUUGAUAGUAGUUCAUCAAAUAGUGAACUAGUAUCAGGAUUAAGUUUGCACCAUGGUAUGGCCAGUUCUCUUCUGAGCUAUUCAGUCACAGACUCUUAUGCAGAAUACGAGAGUUUUGAAGAGAGCUUUCCAUCACCUGAACUGUUCAGAAAAUCAGAUUAUUUAGACUGGGAGUGUCCCAACUUGGAAGAACACAUGCAGUGGAAGAAUUCUACUCUUCUGGAUACCAGUAAAGCAGUAGCAAUAGAGAAGGCACCACAGUUUUCAAAUGUCUCUGCAAUUUUCAGUACCUCUUCAGAAGACUAUCAGAAAUGC
rnacentral:sRNA from 1 species